rnacentral:rRNA from 1 species
AGCGAACGCUGGCGGCAGGCCUAACACAUGCAAGUCGAACGAAGUCUUCGGACUUAGUAGCGGACGGGUGAGUAACACGUGGGAACGUGCCUUUAGGUUCGGAAUAACUCAGGGAAACUUGUGCUAAUACCGAAUGUGCCCUUCGGGGGAAAGAUUUAUCGCCUUUAGAGCGGCCCGCGUCUGAUUAGCUGGUUGGUGAGGUAAUGGCUCACCAAGGCUACGAUCAGUAGCUGGUCUGAGAGGAUGACCAGCCACAUUGGGACUGAGACACGGCCCAAACUCCUACGGGAGGCAGCAGUGGGGAAUCUUGCGCAAUGGGCGAAAGCCUGACGCAGCCAUGCCGCGUGGAUGAUGAAGGUCUUAGGAUUGUAAAAUCCUUUCACCGGUGAAGAUAAUGACUGUAGCCGGAGAAGAAGCCCCGGCUAACUUCGUGCCAGCAGCCGCCGUAAAAC